rnacentral:rRNA from 1 species
AUACGGAGGGUCCAAGCGUUAUCCGGAUUCAUUGGGUUUAAAGGGUUCGUAGGCGGAUAAAUAAGUCAGUGGUGAAAUCCCGAAGCUCAACUUCGGAACUGCCAUUGAAACUGUUUAUCUUGAAUUUAGUUGAAGUGGGCGGAAUAUGACAUGUAGCGGUGAAAUGCAUAGAUAUGUCAUGGAACACCAAUAGUGAAGACAGCUCACUAAGCUAAUAUUGACGCUGAUGAACGAAAGCAUGGGUAGCGAACAGGAUUAGAAACCCCAGUAGUCC